rnacentral:rRNA from 1 species
UACAGGGGGUGCAAACGUUGCUCGGAAUCACUGGGCGUAAAGGGUGCGUAGGCGGGUCUUUAAGUCAGAGGUGAAAUCCUGGAGCUCAACUCCAGAACUGCCUUUGAUACUGAGGAUCUUGAGUUCGGGAGAGGUGAGUGGAACUGCGAGUGUAGAGGUGAAAUUCGUAGAUAUUCGCAAGAACACCAGUGGCGAAGGCGGCUCACUGGCCCGAUACUGACGCUGAGGCACGAAAGCGUGGGGAGCAAACAGG